UAAGCCUGGGAGACAGGUCAAACGUGUCAUCAGUCAUGAAUCCCUUCCUGCCCACAAGAGAUCUAAGUCCCGCCCACCUUGAAUUCCU